UGCCUCGUGGUGUAACGGUAGCACAACUGACUCUGGAUCAGUUUGUCAUAGUUCGAAUCUAUGCGAGGCAACCA
rnacentral:tRNA from 1 species